rnacentral:tRNA from 1 species
AGCUUUAUAGUUUAAAAUAAAACAAUAAUCUUGUAAAUUAUAAUUAAAUACAUAAUUUUAAAGCUU